rnacentral:misc_RNA from 1 species
GCCCACACUCUCUCAUGACAUUUAAAUAUUUUCCAGUGAUCAAAAUUGUUUCCGCUGCAUUUGCAAGGAAGCUAGGAAUUUCAUCUUUCAGGCUGUAACGUUGUUGCCAGUACUUGGCAUCAUAAUCUUGAGUAAGACUCUCCUUCUGAAGAGACUUGUUCUCGGCAAUAAAGAAUUCACCAUAAGGAUCAUCAAUCACUCCUUCAUACACCCACCUCU